rnacentral:rRNA from 1 species
GACGAACGCUGGCGGCGUGCUUAACACAUGCAAGUCGAACGGAAAGGCCCUGCUUUUGUGGGGUGCUCGAGUGGCGAACGGGUGAGUAACACGUGAGUAACCUGCCCUUGACUUUGGGAUAACUUCAGGAAACUGGGGCUAAUACCGGAUAGGAGCUCCUGCUGCAUGGUGGGGGUUGGAAAGUUUCGGCGGUUGGGGAUGGACUCGCGGCUUAUCAGCUUGUUGGUGGGGUAGUGGCUUACCAAGGCUUUGACGGGUAGCCGGCCUGAGAGGGUGACCGGCCACAUUGGGACUGAGAUACGGCCCAGACUCCUACGGGAGGCAGCAGUGGGGAAUAUUGCACAAUGGGCGGAAGCCUGAUGCAGCAACGCCGCAUGCGGGAUGACGGCCUUCGGGUUGUAAACCGCUUUCGCCUGUGACGAAGCGUGAGUGACGGUAAUGGGUAAAGAAGCACCGGCUAACUACGUGCCAGCAGCCGCGGUGAUACGUAGGGUGCGAGCGUUGUCCGGAUUUAUUGGGCGUAAAGGGCUCGUAGGUGGUUGAUCGCGUCGGAAGUGUAAUCUUGGGGCUUAACCCUGAGCGUGCUUUCGAUACGGGUUGACUUGAGGAAGGUAGGGGAGAAUGGAAUUCCUGGUGGAGCGGUGGAAUGCGCAGAUAUCAGGAGGAACACCAGUGGCGAAGGCGGUUCUCUGGGCCUUUCCCGACGCUGAGGAGCGAAAGCGUGGGGAGCGAACAGGCUUAGAUACCCUGGUAGUCCACGCUGUAAACGGUGGGUACUAGGUGUGGGGUCCAUUCCACGGGUUCCGUGCCGUAGCUAACGCUUUAAGUACCCCGCCUGGGGAGUACGGCCGCAAGGCUAAAACUCAAAGGAAUUGACGGGGCCCCGCACAAGCGGCGGAGCAUGCGGAUUAAUUCGAUGCAACGCGUAGAACCUUACCUGGGUUUGACAUGGAUCGGGAGCGCUCAGAGAUGGGUGUGCCUCUUUUGGGGUCGGUUCACAGGUGGUGCAUGGCUGUCGUCAGCUCGUGUCGUGAGAUGUGGGGUUAAGUCCCGCAACGAGCGCAACCCUUGUUCACUGUUGCCAGCACGUUAUGGUGGGGACUCAGUGGAGACCGCCGGGGUCAACUCGGAGGAAGGUGGGGAUGACGUCAAGUCAUCAUGCCCCUUAUGUCCAGGGCUUCACGCAUGCUACAAUGGCUGGUACAGAGAGUGGCGAGCCUGUGAGGGUGAGCGAAUCUCGGAAAGCCGGUCUCAGUUCGGAUUGGGGUCUGCAACUCGACCUCAUGAAGUCGGAGUCGCUAGUAAUCGCAGAUCAGCAACGCUGCGGUGAAUACGUUCCCGGG